UGAACGCUGGCGGCGUGCUUAACACAUGCAAGUCGAACGAUGAAGCCCAGCUUGCUGGGUGGAUUAGUGGCGAACGGGUGAGUAACACGUGAGUAACCUGCCCUUAACUCUGGGAUAAGCCUGGGAAACUGGGUCUAAUACCGGAUAGGAGCGCCUACCGCAUGGUGGGUGUUGGAAAGAUUUAUCGGUUUUGGAUGGACUCGCGGCCUAUCAGCUUGUUGGUGAGGUAAUGGCUCACCAAGGCGACGACGGGUAGCCGGCCUGAGAGGGUGACCGGCCACACUGGGACUGAGACACGGCCCAGACUCCUACGGGAGGCAGCAGUGGGGAAUAUUGCACAAUGGGCGAAAGCCUGAUGCAGCGACGCCGCGUGAGGGAUGACGGCCUUCGGGUUGUAAACCUCUUUCAGUAGGGAAGAAGCGAAAGUGACGGUACCUGCAGAAGAAGCACCGGCUAACUACGUG
rnacentral:rRNA from 1 species